GAAUGAAGGAUAAAAACAAAGUUAAAGUAUUAAAGUAUAUGGAUAUAACUAUGAUGAGUAGAAAAUAAAGAAAAUCACCGAAACACAAUCAGGCAAAGAGGAAUGGUAAAAUAAGUGAAUGAAAAGUGUGUAAAAAGGGAAGAGGUGAUUGGGUCACUGGGUCAACAGGUUAAAAAUAAUUAAGAUGAGAGGGUUCGUGGGUCAUCAGGUGACGGGGUAUCAGGUCAACGGGUAA